CUGAUAAACAGGCUUCACUUGAUAUGAACGAUGCAGAUAGACCAUACGGAGAACAGGAAGCAAGAGACGCAUUUAAUAGAAUGGUAAAACGAUAUGGCUGGAAUUCAUAAAAGGAGAAAAUGUUUGUAUGUGUAUGUUGCAUAAGAGAAGAUGUGUGAGUCAGAAGUAGACUGUAAGUUAAAGUGUAUUUCCUUACAGAAGAGAAUCUUGAUAUGGGAAGGUUAAAUUGAGAAUAAAAUCACUAGAGAACGUUUUUAAUUCAUAAUUAGUAUUAUUAUGAAUCAUGGACAUUUUAGAUGUUAGAUUUCAUACUGCAUGGACCAGC
rnacentral:lncRNA from 1 species